UACGUAGGGCGCAAGCGUUGUCCGGAAUUAUUGGGCGUAAAGAGCUCGUAGGCGGUUUGUCGCGUCUGCUGUGAAAACCUGAGGCUCAACCUCGGGCUUGCAGUGGGUACGGGCAGACUAGAGUGCGGUAGGGGUGACUGGAAUUCCUGGUGUAGCGGUGGAAUGCGCAGAUAUUAGGAGGAACACCGAUGGCGAAGGCAGGUCACUGGGCCGCAACUGACGCUGAGGAGCGAAAGCAUAGGGAGCGAACAGG
rnacentral:rRNA from 1 species